rnacentral:lncRNA from 1 species
GGUUAAUGCUCAAAGAUUGGAGUUGAAGUCUUCCUAAUCUUAUUCUAGCCUCAGGAAAUAGAGAGAUCUCAGCUAUGCUUGUUACUUCUCUCCAUUUUCUACAGGAGCUUGAACUAAAGUCAAGCUGAUGUGAACAUACUCUCCUGCCCUUCACUUCUUGGGUAAAGGAGUGGUGAGGUGACAAGAAGGAGUGGCUCAUUUGCAUGAUCUCCGGCUGCAAUGGCAACCACACUCAAGUGGGAGUCCUGACUCUUCCACUGACUGCCUGUGUGACCCUGGGGAAGGUACUUAGCCUCUCUGAGUUGCUGGAUUCUCAUCUCUAAAACUGGAUUUUAAAAAAUCUGCUAUCAACCUCACCUAUGCUGGCUAGAAAAAGGCAGCAUAUUUCUCACCUAUGCUGCAACCUCACCUAUGCUGCAACCUCACCUAUGCUGCAACCUCACCUAUGCUGGCUAGAAAAAGGCAGCAUGAUUUUCAAACUUAGAAGAAAUCUUAUGUAGAAUUUAAGCACACAGAAACAUGCAGAAACUUAUAGGUUAAAAAAAAAAAGAGGGAAAAUACAUUGAUAAAUAAAUUGGGGUGAAG